GAGGUUGGUUCUCUAGCAGUUUACAUGCACGCAAUUUGGAUAUGGUAACUUAUAGUAGGGAUGAGUUAGUGAAGAGGCCAAGUGUGAACACAAAUGCAAGUGGAUAUCCUUCUUUUUGUUCUGUGGCUUCUUCUUCUUUGGAUGAAUCGGGACGCAUUCCUUUUAAGACUCCAAAUGGGUCUCCUCUCCAUGUCAAGGUAUUAACUGGUGAGAAGUUUGGCCCACGAGUUCCUUAUCCGGAUCAAUUUUGAGGCCUCCUCAGUCAUCUCCUAAACCAGCUCGAACCUGGGGUGGUUUCCUUCGAUCAUUCCUCAUAAAAUAGGUGAUUUGUUGAUGAAUAUUCAUGCCCAGCUCAAAUAACGAAUAUUUUGGCCGUUAGAUAGUUUCACACAUUCUUGGUACCGUUUGAGUAGACUCCUUCGACAAUCUCUUGAUUUAGCCCCGGCAAUAGAAUAAUGCCUCUCGAUCAUAAGUCUUUAAAUGUGUUGUUUGCUGGUGUAUUCUCAAGCCCACGUCAUCAUUUGUACAUGCAAAGUUUGUGUUGGGUGGUUUUGGUGAGCCUUCUCAGUCUUCUCCGCAAUCAUAUCUGUUGAUCCCUUUCUGUGCAAUCUGGUUUGAUAUGAAAUCCACACCAAUUCAGAAGGUCUCAAAGGAAGCAACUGGUUCAAGAUGAACGUACCAAGCAAUUGGUUAUAUUAGGGCUUAGGUAUAUAUUCC